CUUACACCUUUAAGGAGUACUUCUGCUAUUGACUUAUAAUCAUUUUUUAAUUUUGUCUCGACAAGAACUGCGUGUGCACAUUGCCUGAAUACCAAAUAAGCUCACAUUAAAGAGAGCAUGUGUACGAUUGAGCCACUUUCUGUGAAGAACCACAUAGGUGCAUCAUGCGUAAUAUAAAUUGAACAAGUGCUACCUGUUGGCUGAUAAUAUAAUCAGGAGGGCUACACUGGGUGCACACAACACCUUCAAAGGCCAUGUGUGGUUUCUAGCCACAUGUCUGAAACAUGCAAGUUGUGAAGUUUGAAUCUUUCUCCACUAUUAAGCCGACACUAUUUGCUCUUGCUAUAUAAAAUAUUUCAUCACUGGCCUGCUCAUAAACCUUUGCCUCCCAUCAUGGCCAGAUAAGUAACAUAACUGAAUUAAAUGUAUAUUCUGGAAUAUUUUUUAUUGACAGCUAAUAUACAGCAUUAAAUUGUGUAAACUAAACUGCAAGCCACUCAUCUUUUGUUACCCUUUCUGUUACGACCCUGCUCUCUUUUAUGCCAUGACUGACUGUCAAGAUAACUACAGAGCAUCUCCUUAUUGUUGCAGAAAGUGUUAAGUGCACAUUUGAAACUGUAAAAAGAAGUGAAGUUGAGGACGUUGUAAAAACGUGGCUCAGACACGCUGGGGAGAAGCUUAGAAAGAAUAACAAACAGUCUGAAAAAGUCACAGAGCUGCUGGAGUGACAACGCAGGCCUCACUGAAGUGCAGCAUGUUUCAACCACAGCACGGAGGACUUUUUUUCCACAUUUUGCUGUUUUAAUGAUAAUUUCGUCAUUAUAAUACUCAUUUUUACUUUUCCGUUCUUUAAUAUUUAAAGAUUGUAUUUUAAUUCCUCAUUUUCUAGUCAUUUUUAGUCAGUUACAGUUUAUUACUCAUUUUUGCAUUGCUGUAGCAGGAAGACAAUUUUUUCGCGCAUUAAGAGUGAUGCCUUAUGUAUUCAUGUUUUUUAUAAUAAAUUUUAUAUUUAAGCUUU